UUGGAAUGGAAAAGGAAAUAGUAAAAAAAAAAAUAUCUAUUUAAUAUUAAAAACAAUAUAAGUUAAUUUUAAAAAAACAACAUAUUACAUGAAUAGAACGUGAAACAAGAGGAAUAAUUUUUGCAUUCUAAUAUCACGUACAUGUAAUCAUCUGGGUCAUAACUAAUGAUCUAGCGUCAACCAACAUUUUCGAGAACUUCUGUUCACUUUUCGUUCGUUAUAAGCAUACCAUACAUGUUGGGCACGUGGACAAUAAGGCAAAGGGAGCCCAGUGUGUUGUCCCUCGCGACAAUCUCCGGCUCCCGGCUUUCGCCCGACGGAAAAGUAAUCUGUCCCCGGCGAUCAGCCAGACCUCUGCCGAUCUUAAUGGAUUAUCUGAUGCGUUCGUCCUCGUUCGGUAGCCGUAAUCGAGUUCCUGCUAGCUCAUAAAUGACGGCUACUGGAAGGGAAGGGAGGGUGCUCAGAUUCCUUUGACUUUGGGGUAGCAUAUCGAAGCGUAUAAUAAUUGUGAAGCACGUCAAUUAUUGGAUUUUUCUGCCAAUAAUAAGAACGAAUUUUUAUUAUUUUUUUCCUUUAAAAAUAGUUUAAUAUUUACAAUUUUUUUACUGUAUUCAGUUACAUCGCAGGUAAAGAGAAGAAAUAGAAUCAUAAAAUAGAAUCAGAAGAAAUAAGGAAUAUAUCGAUUACUGGCUUUUUUUAUAAUUGAAGAAUUCAUAACAAUCUUAUCUUCCAUUUUCUUAAAGAAAUAUAAUAAAAUAUUCUACCUUUAAUUUUUGUCUGACAGAGUCAAGUAUAAUCAAUUAUAUCGCAUAAAGAGAAGAGAUAUACGUAGAUACACUUUCUAGAUUAAAACCUAAAGAAAAAAAAUCCAUCCAAUUCGACAUGGAACAAAAAAGAAUUACCCCACCAUCGCUCGACAAGCUGGCAAGGGAUCGCGACGAAAAUUAAUCCCAACUGCCCACCCGAUCGUCGAUGAAAACUUCGAACGAUAAAUACAAGUUUCGCGGCAUUCCUGAUUGCGCCUCUAUGUGGGCGCACCGUUUGAAUCUCUUCCUGGAAAAUCAUUCAUCGCCGCGGUGCCGCGUUACCUUGGGUGUCUCGAAGCGAGAAAUAUCGCGGUACGAAACGGCAAUUGUCGUGCUGCGUUAUGCAUGUAUCCCAGUGAGCGUUAACAGCCGAGUUUGUUCCACGACGAAGACGUUUCCUCCUCGUCGAGGACACCGGGUUGGAGGUGGAGCGAACACAAGAACGGUACUACAUUUCCAUCACGAUGGAUCGCGAAGGGGGAUGAAUGACACGAGCGUUUGUCAAUUUCUCUCAACAUGUUUCGUGUCCUCGUCGAUGGGUCUGUGAAAGUAAGAUUUUUGAACAGAGAGAACGGGAUAUCAUCGUUUCGAUAUCGUUGAAAUCUAGAAAAAUUGAUUUUCCUUUUGCAACGUAUGCUCACGGGUCGAUAAGAUCUUUAAUUUAAUUACUUGUAAUUUGUUGCACGAUUUGUACAAUUUUAUAUAAAUUGAAUGUUACACGAUUUAAAAUUUAUAAUUCAUGCCAAUUUAAUAUCGUAAUGGUUUUACAAGAUGUAAAUUGUCAGUAUCUUGAAAUAAAUCAAAAUAAAUUUUCUGACUUGAAUAUAAA